AUGGCGACGCGUGUAAUUGUGCUCAGGGUGGGCCUCCUCUUCUUGCUGGCGAUGUCGGCGUUGGCCCAAUACCCGUCGUCCCCAAGCUCGCCGGACUCGUAUCCAUCCCCGGGCUCAUACCCAUCUCCAGGCUCCCCGGACGGCUACCAGGAGGAGGGGGAGGUCGCCCCUCCAAGGAACGUGACCUGCAAGGACUCCGAGAGGAAGCGGUCGGGAUGUAUGAGCACCUGCCCCGCCCGCUGCCCCCAGCAAUGCAUCGUCAUCUGCCCCGACUGCAAGACAUUCUGCAAUGACGAGGUAAAGCCGCCGAAGCCGGUGCCACCACCGGCGAUGUUCGUGUUCGGAGACGGGGCUUUGGACGUCGGCAACAACGCAUACUUGCCCAAGACUGAAACGGAGGAGGGGUACCCCCCGCAGGUCUCCAAAUCGAGCAGUGGCAGGUUCAGCAACGGGGCCAACUUGGCUGACACCGUCGCGACAUCUAUCGGCUUCGAGCAGAGCCCUCCGGCUUACAUGUCGCUGAACGGUGGGCUCAACAUAUGGGGAGCCAACUAUGCCUCAGCGGGUGCCGGUAUAAAAAUCUCCACUAAUGGAGAGCGGUCUAUCUCAUUGCCGAAGCAGCUGGAGAACUUUAAGGUGACGAGAGGCCAGAUGGAGAACAAGCUGGGCGGCGACGCCAAGAUGCGUGAGCUCCUUUCGAAGUCCAUCUUCCUCAUUAGCAUCGGUGGCCAGGACCUGGAUCCAAGAUGGAACGUCGAGUCCGGAUAUCCGCGGGAGCAGACCGAGCUCCAGGAGCUCAUGUCCCUGUACGGGGAUUUCAUCACGUCCCUCUAUGACAUGGGCGCCAGGAAGCUGGCAAUCGUCAACGUCGGCCUCAUCGGUUGCAUGCCACCACCCUACAGGUAUGAGUGCGACCAGAGCCUGAACGACAAAGCCACCGCGUUCGAUGCGGCCCUCAAGCCCCUAAUGGCUGACCUCGCGUCCAAGAAGUCGGGCCUCUCAUACUCCAUAGGCGACUUCUAUGGCUUCACCACCGCCGUCUUUGCCAACCCAUCAAAUUAUGGGCUAGUGAAUACUCGGGACUCCUGCAGCCAGUGGGGCUACCCGGACUGGACGUACUGCUACAAUCCAGAUGGUUACUGGUUCUGGGACCCAGAGUUCAUGACAGAUAGGGCUGCCAAGCUGACAGCCGCUGCGUUUUACUAUGGUCCACCCCAGUUUACAUUUCCAAUUACCUUUAAGGCUCUGCUGGAGAAAAAAUAA
rnacentral:rRNA from 1 species